rnacentral:rRNA from 1 species
AUUGAACGCUGGCGGCAUGCUUUACACAUGCAAGUCGAACGGUAACAGGCCGCAAGGUGCUGACGAGUGGCGAACGGGUGAGUAAUGCAUCGGAACGUGCCCAGUCGUGGGGGAUAACGCAGCGAAAGCUGUGCUAAUACCGCAUACGCUCUGUGGAUGAAAGCGGGGGACCGUAAGGCCUCGCGCGAUUGGAGCGGCCGAUGUCAGAUUAGGUAGUUGGUGGGGUAAAGGCUCACCAAGCCGACGAUCUGUAGCUGGUCUGAGAGGACGACCAGCCACACUGGGACUGAGACACGGCCCAGACUCCUACGGGAGGCAGCAGUGGGGAAUUUUGGACAAUGGGCGCAAGCCUGAUCCAGCAAUGCCGCGUGCAGGAAGAAGGCCUUCGGGUUGUAAACUGCUUUUGUACGGAGCGAAAAGGCUCUCUCUAAUACAGGGGGCUCAUGACGGUACCGUAAGAAUAAGCACCGGCUAACUACGUGCCAGCCGCCGCGGUAAGAC